rnacentral:rRNA from 1 species
UGGCGGCAGGCCUAACACAUGCAAGUCGAGCGGCAGCGGAAAGUAGCUUGCUACUUUGCCGGCGAGCGGCGGACGGGUGAGUAAUGUCUGGGAAACUGCCUGAUGGAGGGGGAUAACUACUGGAAACGGUAGCUAAUACCGCAUGACCUCGAAAGAGCAAAGUGGGGGACCUUCGGGCCUCACGCCAUCGGAUGUGCCCAGAUGGGAUUAGCUAGUAGGUGGGGUAAUGGCUCACCUAGGCGACGAUCCCUAGCUGGUCUGAGAGGAUGACCAGCCACACUGGAACUGAGACACGGUCCAGACUCCUACGGGAGGCAGCAGUGGGGAAUAUUGCACAAUGGGCGCAAGCCUGAUGCAGCCAUGCCGCGUGUGUGAAGAAGGCCUUCGGGUUGUAAAGCACUUUCAGCGAGGAGGAAGGCAUUUCACUUAAUACGUGAAGU